rnacentral:rRNA from 2 species
CAAUAAGCGGAGGAAAAGAAACUAACAAGGAUUCCCCUAGUAACUGCGAGUGAAGCGGGAAAAGCUCAAAUUUUAAAUCUGGCAGUCUCUGGCUGUCCGAGUUGUAAUCUAGAGAAGUGUUAUCCGCGCUGGACCGUGUACAAGUCUCCUGGAAUGGAGCGUCAUAGAGGGUGAGAAUCCCGUCUUUGACACGGACUGCCAGGGCUUUGUGAUGCGCUCUCAAAGAGUCGAGUUGUUUGUGAAUGCAGCUCAAAAUGGGUGGUAAAUUCCAUCUAAAGCUAAAUAUUGGCGAGAGACCGAUAGCGAACAAGUACCGUGAGGGAAAGAUGAAAAGAACUUUGAAAAGAGAGUUAAACAGUACGUGAAAUUGCUGAAAGGGAAACGCUUGAAGUCAGUCGCGUUGACCAGGGAUCAACCUUGCUUUUGCUUGGUGUACUUCCUGGUUGAUGGGUCAGCAUCAAUUUUGACUAUUGGAAAAAGGUCAAGGGAAUGUGGCAUCUUCGGAUGUGUUAUAGCCCUUGGUUGCAUACAAUGGUUGGGAUUGAGGAACUCAGCACGCCGCAAGGCCGGGUAUUUUACCACGUACGUGCUUAGGAUGCUGGCAUAAUGGCUUUAAUCGACCCGUCUUGAAACACGGACCAAGGAGUCUAACAUGCCUGCGAGUGUUUGGGUGGAAAACCCAAGCGCGCAAUGAAAGUGAAAGUUGAGAUCCCUGUCGUGGGGAGCAUCGACGCCCGGACCAGACCUUUUGUGACGGUUCCGCGGUAGAGCAUGUAUGUUGGGACCCGAAAGAUGGUGAACUAUGCCUGAAUAGGGUGAAGCCAGAGGAAACUCUGGUGGAGGCUCGUAGCGAUUCUGACGUGCAAAUCGAUCGUCAAAUUUGGGUAUAGGGGCGAAAGACUAAUCGAAUCAUCUAGUAGCUG